GACGAACGCUGGCGGCGUGCUUAACACAUGCAAGUCGAACGAGACGAUUGAAAGCUUGCUUUUAAAAGUCGAGUGGCAAACGGGUGAGUAACGCGUAGACAACCUGCCUUUGAGAUGGGGACAACAGUUCGAAAGGACUGCUAAUACCGAAUGUUGUAUAUUUUCCACAUGGAAGAUAUAUUAAAGAUGGCCUCUAUUUAUAAGCUAUCGCUCAAAGAUGGGUCUGCGUCUGAUUAGCUAGUUGGUGGGGUAACGGCCUACCAAGGCGACGAUCAGUAGCCGGUCUGAGAGGAUGAACGGCCACAUUGGGACUGAGACACGGCCCAGACUCCUACGGGAGGCAGCAGUGGGGAAUCUUCCACAAUGGACGGAAGUCUGAUGGAACAACGCCGCGUGAGUGAAGAAGGGUUUCGGCUCGUAAAGCUCUGUUGUCGGGGACGAAUGUGCAGUAUUUGAAUAAAGUACUGCAAUGACGGUACCUGACGAGGAAGCCACGGCUAACUACGUGCCAGCCGCCGCAGUAA
rnacentral:rRNA from 1 species